UGGAGACAGAGCGGAGGUAGUCCGGGGAGACGAGGUGGUGCAUGGUUGUCGUCAGCUCGUGUCGUGAGAUGUUGGGUUAAGUCCCGCAACGAGCGCAACCCUUAUUGCUAGUUACCAUCAUUGAGUUGGGGACUCUAGCGAGACUGCCAGCGAUAAGCUGGAGGGAAGGUGGGGAUGACGUCAAAUCAUCAUGCCCCUUAUGACCUGGGCUACAAACGUGAUACAAUGGCUGGAACAAAGGGAGGCGAAGGGGUGACCUGGAGCGAAACCCAAAAAUACAGUCUCAGUUCGGAUUGAAGUCUGCAACUCGACUUCAUGAAGUCGGAAUCGCUAGUAAUCGCGGAUCAGCAUGCCGCGGUGAAUACGUUCCCGGGCCUU
rnacentral:rRNA from 1 species